UGCCAGCCGCCGCGGUAAUACGGAGGGUGCAAGCGUUAUCCGGAAUCAUUGGGUUUAAAGGGUCCGUAGGCUGAUAAUUAAGUCAGAGGUGAAAGUUUAUGGCUCAACCAUGAAAUUGCCUUUGAUACUGGUUAUCUUGAGUUGUAUUGAAGUAGAUGGAGUGAGUAGUGUAGCGGUGAAAUGCAUAGAUAUUACUCAGAACACCGAUUGCGAAGGCAGUCUACUAAGUACAUACUGACGCUGAUGGACGAAAGCGUGGGGAGCGAACAGGAUUAGAUA
rnacentral:rRNA from 1 species